rnacentral:rRNA from 1 species
UACGUAGGGAGCAAGCGUUGUCCGGAAUCAUUGGGCGUAAAGCGCGCGUAGGUGGCCAUGUAAGUCCGCUGUGAAAAGUCAAAGGCUCAACCUUUGAAAGCCGGUGGAUACUGCAUGGCUAGAGUACGGAAGAGGCGAGUGGAAUUCCUGGUGUAGCGGUGGAAUGCGCAGAUAUCAGGAGGAACACCGGUGGCGAAGGCGGGUCUCUGGGCCGUAACUGACGCUGAGGAGCGAAAGCAUGGGGAGCGAACAGG